ACAGCAUGAUGUAUAUCAAUCACCAGAAAUAAAUAUUAGGAAUAUAAGAAAGAUCAAAUGUCUACCUCUAAAAUUUCAAAAACUAAUGAGUCCAAAGAAAAAUACAAAAUUGAGUUACCAUUUCAUUAGUAAGAUUUUAUGUCAUCUAUCUGUUAAUAAUUUUAUUCUUAUUAUUAUUUAUUUUUUAGCCAAAUUGCCAUAUAUGUAAUAUACUAAAAUAAUAAUGGGAUUUUGCUAUAGAAAAGAAUAAUAAUUCAUCAAAUGUAUUAAAUGUGGGAAGAAAUAGUAAUAUCAAACAGAAUGUACUCGAUGAUUCACAAAAGAUGGCAGUCCAGUCAGAAUUCAUACAGGCGUUGGCAGAGGAAAAGUAUAGAGCGGAUAAAAUAAGAUUUGGGAAUAUAAGUAAAGUUAGCAUACUUCUCUUGUAUCUCCACUUUUUGCUUUGUUAUUAUC